rnacentral:lncRNA from 1 species
CCCUUUCUCCUUCAAGUUCCUUCUGGGUUCACUGGAUUUGAACAGCAUUUGAGAAGGAGAGAAGAUGGUGUAAGUGACCCAAAGCAACUUGCUUCCAUCUGCCUUCAGUUCUCAGACGGGGAAAACAUUUCCAGAAGGCCUGGUGCACGGGGACGUGACGUGGUGACAGAACGUUCUGUCUCCUUCUUGUUACAGGAGCAGCGCCGAGUUUCUGCAGGCUCAUAAAUCCUGAGGGCCUUUUCCAGCCGCGGCACUUGGGCCGCUGGCCCUUGUUCCAGGAAACGGACACUUUGAAACCCCCAUCAAAAGAGAACAUUGUGUUUCUGCACAUCCAGCCCCACUGCAGGCGGAUUUCUCUCAGAGCAGCACCAGGAGACAGACUGGAAAAGUGAAGCAAGAUCAGGCUUUGGUGUACACAGAGGUCCUGGCUUCAAAGCCAUCUGUAGCUGUGUAACCUGGGUGUCUGAAGGAGACUGGUAAAAGAGGAUGAUAUGUGGAUGAAGAAGAGGAUCUGACCUCUCCAGGGGGACAAAGCAGAGCUCACAGGGGUGCUAAAUGUUUCGACUGAGCCCUGAACCAUCAUCCACCAUCCACCCAUGUGUCCAUCCAUCCUUCCAUCCACUCAGUCAUUUAACAUGUGUGGAACAUCUGCAAAAUGCCAGAAACUGUGCUAAGGGAUGAAGGAUGAAGAAGUCAUGGUCCUUGUCUUUAAACUUCUAGAUCUGAGCAUCCUCCCCAAGAAACCACCCCAGAUACUCAAAGAGUGACAGGAACCCACCUGAAUUUAGUGCAAGGAAUUAGCGAUGUGACAAGAGAAGGCCUGACUUUUGAUGGAUACGAGAAUAGCUAUUUUCCUCAAGACUUUUGUAAGGUUACAAGUUUACUGGGCUGUCUUUCUUUUUGUUUAAUAACAUUGGUCAGAGGCUGCUUACCUGAUUCAUUCCUGUUGAUUCCUGCCUCUCAAGCCAAGGCUUCAGCUUAAGUAAUGCCUAGCAUUUGAUAAACACCAGGAG